rnacentral:rRNA from 1 species
AGAGUUUGAUCCUGGCUCAGAAUGAACGUUGGCGGCGUGGAUUAGGCAUGCAAGUCGAACGGGUUCGCCGCAAGGCGGACCAGUGGCGCAAGGGUGAGUAAGGCGACGGCAACCAACCCCAUGGUUGGGCAUAGCCGCGGGAAACUGCGGGUAAUUCCCAGCGAUGUUCGCUCCAGGCAUCUGGGGCCAACCAAAGCUCUGGCGCCGUGGGACGGGCCGUCGUGGUAUUAGGUUGUUGGCGGGGUAACGGCCCACCAAGCCUCUGAUGCCUACCGGGCGUGCGAGCGUGGCCCGGCACACUGGGACUGAGACACUGCCCAGACUCCUACGGGAGGCUGCAGUCGAGAAUCUUCGGCAAUGGGCGCAAGCCUGACCGAGCGACGCCGCGUGGAGGAUGAAGGCCUUCGGGUUGUAAACUCCUGUCGAGGGGGAGGAAGGCGCAAGCUUGACCGAUCCCUGGAGGAAGCACGGGCUAAGUUCGUGCCAGCAGCCGCGGUAAGACGAACCGUGCGAACGUUAUUCGGAAUCACUGGGCUUAAAGCGCGUGUAGGCGGAUGGGGACGUCGGUUGCUGAAAGCCCCCGGCUCAACCGGGGAACUGGCGCCGAAACGCCCCGUCUGGAGGGACGUAGGGGGACCUGGAACUUCCGGUGGAGCGGUGAAAUGCGUUGAGAUCGGAAGGAACGCCCGUGGCGAAAGCGAGGUCCUGGACGUUUACUGACGCUGAGACGCGAAAGCUAGGGGAGCGAACGGGAUUAGAUACCCCGGUAGUCC